rnacentral:rRNA from 1 species
UACGAAGGGUGCAAGCGUUAGUCGGAAUUACUGGGCGUAAAGCGUGCGUAGGCGGUCUCUUAAGUCCGUUGAUGAAAGCCCUGGGCUCAACCUGGGAACUGCAGUGGAUACUGAGAGCUAGAGUGUGUCAGAGGAUGGUGGAAUUCCCGGUGUAGCGGUGAAAUGCGUAGAGAUCGGGAGGAACAUCAGUGGCGAAGGCGGCCAUCUGGGACAACACUGACGGCUGAGGCACGGAAAAGCGAUGGGGGAGCCAAACAGGGAAUUAAGAAACCC